GGCAAAAAAUGCAGAUGGAGAUAUACGAAGGUGCGACCACUGCUGAGGAGCAGAGCAGCAGGGAAGCAAGUUCUCUGGGAAAGCAGCAGCGAUGGAUUACUGCUCAUGCGCAGGGAACAAAUCGAAAGCAUGUCCUAUUACACAGGAUGACAAACCUUCUCGGUGCAUCUUCUCUCUGGGCAGGGAGACAGGAAAACAAUCUGUAUGUAGAAUGUAAAGUACAUGACAUCAACUAGCUUGGACUCUCCUCUUCACCUCAAUAUACUCUAAAGUGACUGCUCAGCAAAUCUUAGGGAUACCUCCAUCCAAUCCCCGGCCUCAGUGCUCAGGAAACCCUGUAGGAGAGGAGGCAGAAAGAGUGUGCGAGCCAGAGAGGACGGAAGACACCGGAACAGGCUUUCUGAAUCGCCUGAGCAAGGCGCAAAUGAACUCACGGAGACUGAAGCAACAAGCCGAGGACCUACAUGGGUCUACACCCAGUCCUCGAUUUCUGAAGAGAUUUCUCUUUGGAUCCUCACAGCCACAAGAAAAAGCACUUUCUUCCUGAUUAGAUGUUUCUCACCCUUCACUUGUGUACGUGAGAAGCUGGAA
rnacentral:sRNA from 1 species